CCCAAAGUCAUAGUGCUGUUUUGAUUGUUAGGACCUGAAAACUGCACUAAGAUUUUGAGGA
rnacentral:pre_miRNA from 1 species